rnacentral:rRNA from 2 species
GUCAGAGGCGAUGAAGGGCGUGCUAAUCUGCGAUAAGCGCCGGUAAGGUGAUAUGAACCGUUAUAACCGGCGAUACCCGAAUGGGGAAACCCAGUGUGAUUCGUCACACUAUCAUUAACUGAAUCCAUAGGUUAAUGAGGCGAACCGGGGGAACUGAAACAUCUAAGUACCCCGAGGAAAAGAAAUCAACCGAGAUUCCCCCAGUAGCGGCGAGCGAACGGGGAGGAGCCCAGAGCCUGAAUCAGCAUGUGUGUUAGUGGAAGCGUCUGGAAAGGCGCGCGAUACAGGGUGACAGCCCCGUACACAAAAGCGCAUGUGCUGUGAGCUCGAUGAGUAGGGCGGGACACGUGGUAUCCUGUCUGAAUAUGGGGGGACCAUCCUCCAAGGCUAAAUACUCCUGACUGACCGAUAGUGAACCAGUACCGUGAGGGAAAGGCGAAAAGAACCCCGGCGAGGGGAGUGAAAAAGAACCUGAAACCGUGUACGUACAAGCAGUGGGAGC